AAACAUGGGAAACUAAUGUAAUGAUAUGGCUUGGCUCCUUCUUCUAGACAUCCUCAGUUGGCAAGACUGCAUGCACCACAAUGAAAGAAGAAGAUGGACAUAGAUACAUCGAGGUGAAUGAAAAUUCAGACCUCAUGGCCCCCUUCACAAGAGCAGACGGAGGGACGACUUGAUCUCUGAUCCUAGAACCAUUCAAUGACUUUUUAUUACUGAAGAAGAGUCGGCCAACCAGGGUUUUUUUGGACACCCAUUUCCUCCUUGGCACUUCCGUGUGUGAGUCUAAAUGUCCUCUUAUUGUGCAAUACUAGCUUUUGAAUCGUGGCUCCUUCGAACAGGGGAAGAGGGCCAUUUUGAGUCAUGAACUCAUUAGGUGUUAUUACUGAAGAGUUUAAACUUGGGUUUGUUCAAGAGAAAUAUAUGCAGUAGAACAUUUUUAGCAGGCAUUUGGCCCUGAAACAUUAUAUGGAAAUAUUUUUAUCAGUUGCCUUGUUUUUCUAGUGUGACAAUGGUGGGCAAUGCUUUGUACUGAUUGAGGCCAGAAUUUCAAUUUCAAGACAUAACCUUAUAAUAACUGCACUGCUUUUCUGAAUUUCCCGGUGUCUGAUGAAUGCAGAUAAAAGAGCAAAACAAAGUGGAUUUUCUCUCAGGG